GAUUAGCGAGAUGACGUAUAUCAUUGUUUCUCUUACUUGUGUGCUCUUUUACCUCCAACUUUCUUAUCCCAGGAUCUUCACAUAAAGUUGUAAUAUUGAAUAAAGAUAACGGCUUAAGAUUUUGUCAACGAUGAUAUUCAGGGGACAACAUAUCUCGGUUUCGUAUAGAAAUUUAUAUAGAAUCUUGGAAAAUCUCAUUAUGGAUAGUUCAAACCAAAUACAAAAGAAUAAUGAUGACGGCGGGUAUAAAGCUUGAAUACAGAGUGUUCUGGUACCGAGUCUGUGUUGAAGAAGCAGAAGAGGGCCGAAGAGUGGGCUUUUGCAAAGGCAAAAGAGGUUGAAGAGUCGAAGAAGAAGAAAGUCGAGACCCGCAAAUUAAUCUGCAAGAAAGCUAGCGAUUAUGCUCAAGAGUAUGAGAAUCAGGAUAAGGGUUGAUUUAGUUGAAGCGCGAGGCGAGAUUGAAGGGUGGCUUUUAUGUCAGCCUAGAAGCUAAUCUAUUGUUCAUAGUCCGAAUUCGUGGGUACGCAUUUAUUGUGCCAAUGCUAUUGUUCAUACUCUCAAAUUUACAGUUUAUUGUUUUGAUUUAUCGAUUCAAUGUAUAUUUUUUCAGUAUCACUCAAUUUUCUACUUCAGGGGUUAUUUCUUGUAACUGUUUCGUGCUGUCUUAUUUCUUCAGCACUUUAUUGUAACUAGCACUUUAUUGUAACUGUUGACUUCUCGUCCGCGCGUCUGUUCAUUCCGGCAUCGAUUUAUUUUAUUUGCUGCCUCGUUAAUAUUUAAACAGCUGGUUUAUUUAUUUAUGUCGCCGUGGUUGUCCUGAGCUGUGGCUAUGGAAAGAAUGUACGGCGGCGGUGGUGGUUUGAUGAUGACCAGAGACUCAAAGCCACGGCUGAGAUGGACUUCUGAUUUGCAUGAUCGUUUUGUUGAUGCUGUCACUAAGCUUGGUGGCCCCGACAAGGCUCAAAUCUGUAUUGAGGCUAAUGGGAUUGAAGGGAUUGACUUUGUAUCACUUAAAGAGUCAUUUACAGAAAUAUAGACUUGGACAACAACAAGAAGCCAAAAAACAGAAUGUUCUUGAUCACAAUACAGAGAACAGUGUUCUUAUGGGCAUCAUAACAUGCGUAUCGCAAGCACGAGCGCUAAUUCAUCGAGCAUGAAUAGUGAACAAGGAGACAUUCCGAUUGCCGAAGCACUUAGGUGUCAGAUUGAAGUGCAUAAAACACUGCAACAACAGCUUGAGGUGCAGAAGAAAUUGCAAAUGAGAAUAGAAGCUGAAGGGAAGUACUUGCAAUCGAUACUCGAAAAGGCUCAACACAGCCUUUCUCCCGACAUAAACCAGUCCGAAAAUCUGGAAUUAACGAAAUCUCAAUUAACCGACUUCAAUUUAGCCCUCUCAAAUUUAAUGCAAACGAUAAACGGAGACGAAAUAAAUGGAAAUAAAGUAGCACGCGAAACGAGAGACCAUAUGAAGCUUGAAACCGAAGGGCCUUUGAUCGAGUUUGAUUUAAAUUCAAGAAGUAGCUAUGAUUUCAUCGGCAUCAAUAAUCGAGCAGUACUCGGAGCUAACCAAUUCGAAAAUAGCUCAUCAAUUCACGUGUUGGUUUCGUGUUCCUCUUCGGGCAACUUAUCUCAAGGUUGCAUGAUGGAUCCACAAAAAACCAAAUUGUCAUGAAAUCAACUUCUUGGCUGCAUGUUGACAUUGCUCAGCAGCCCCACUUUCAGUAAUUAGUAAUUUCUAAUGAAAGAUACGGAAGUGCAACACCAACUCGACCUUCAGUAAUUACUUGUGGAGUCGGUUGGCUGGUGGCUAGAGCUUUGCUUGAUUCUCCUUUUGGCAAUCUCACAGGUCCCAGUGCAGUAUAGUAAGAAUCGAUACAAUAUUGCAAUAUUGUAUAUAUCUACAUGGCCAUCUAAUGAGAUAAUUAAUAAGAUGAGCAAUCUACGAGAAGAAUUACAAGGAAAAGCAAGCAACCGAUAUCCAAGCCAACGACAAUGAAGAGAAGAGGGAUUUACAAAUGCCGGAGUGAUUCAACGAAAAAUGGCAUAUGUGAUUACACUACGGCCUACUGGUCUAGCUGAUGAAGAUCAUUGCUAAUUACCGGGAUUGACAGACCAGCAUUGAUAGCAUACUAAUGAGACAUUUAAGGUUCGAGAUUUGCAGGGGUUUUGCAUUAUCGAGCUGUUGAUUUUCGAUCUAUUAAAGAUCGGAUGGUCCCUUGGUGAAUAGAUCAGGCAAUUUUUUCCUUAUCGAAAUAGCUUUAGUUUUAUCGUUUUUGCAAAUGCCGUUGUUGCCGAUAAGGUUGUCACGCGUAAAGGCACAUAAUAGAUGGAAGAACUGUAGGGCGAUAGUUGUUUAGCAAAUCCACGCCAAACCUCAAUGUGUAUAUUUUGUUCGUCAAACUUCUAAAUGAUGUUAUACCUGCAUAGGCAUCUUAGUUUAAUUUAUGACCUCCCAUAUACUCGAGAAGGAUAUAUUGUGGUUUAUGUUCCCUUCUCUUUUGAUAUAUAUACAUUCUUAAUGCAAA